UGGGGAAUAUUGGACAAUGGGCGAAAGCCUGAUCCAGCCAUGCCGCGUGUGUGAAGAAGGUCUUCGGAUUGUAAAGCACUUUAAGUUGGGAGGAAGGGCAGUAAGCGAAUACCUUGCUGUUUUGACGUUACCGACAGAAUAAGCACCGGCUAACUCUGUGCCAGCAGCCGCGGUAAUACAGAGGGUGCAAGCGUUAAUCGGAAUUACUGGGCGUAAAGCGCGCGUAGGUGGUUCGUUAAGUUGAAUGUGAAAGCCCCGGGCUCAACCUGGGAACUGCAUCCAAAACUGGCGAGCUAGAGGAGGGCAGAGGGUGGUGGAAUUUCCUGUGUAGCGGUGAAAUGCGUAGAUAUAGGAAGGAACACCAGUGGCGAAGGCGACCACCUGGGCUCAUACUGACACUGAGGUGCGAAAGCGUGGGGAGCAAACAGG
rnacentral:rRNA from 1 species